AUGGAAAAGGGCGGAUGAUUUCGAUCAAUCAAAUAAAAGAAGUUCUAGAAUGUUUAAGGAGCUACUGCGCAGAGUUGCAAAAGUUAGCUGGAUUGGAAAAGGGGAAGCAUGAGAAGAGACAGUUUAAUCACGAAGAGUUGCAAAGUUUUAGUGUAGAUGAUGUUAUGAUGGAGGAGAAGCAUAAUGCUGAAAAAAGAAGAUGAAGAAAUGGCAGAUUUGAUUUAUCAUGACGAG